rnacentral:RNase_P_RNA from 1 species
CCGGCAGACCGUUUCAUCGCCCGAAAGGGAGGAAAGUCCGGACAAGACAGAGCAUUGCACUGCGGAAAGCGCAGAUGGGUGAAAGCUUAUGCGUAAGGUAACAGAAAACAACCGCCGUAAGGCAAGGGUGAAAAUGUGGGGUAAGAGCCCACAGGGUAUUUUGGCGACAAUAUGCCCGUACCGCGCUGCAACUUGCAAGGCCAUGUAUACCGGCGUUUAAGGGCUGCUCGUCCGUUGCCGGGGGGUAGGCUGCAAAGAUAAAUGAUGGAACUCGACAGAAUCCGGCUUACAGGUCUGCCUAAGGA